rnacentral:rRNA from 1 species
GAUGAACGCUGGCGGCGUGCCUAAUACAUGCAAGUCGAGCGAACAGACGAGGAGCUUGCUCCUCUGACGUUAGCGGCGGACGGGUGAGUAACACGUGGAUAACCUACCUAUAAGACUGGGAUAACUUCGGGAAACCGGAGCUAAUACCGGAUAAUAUAUUGAACCGCAUGGUUCAAUAGUGAAAGACGGUUUUGCUGUCACUUAUAGAUGGAUCCGCGCCGCAUUAGCUAGUUGGUAAGGUAACGGCUUACCAAGGCAACGAUGCGUAGCCGACCUGAGAGGGGGACGGCCCAACUGGAAACGGGACCCCGGCCCAAACCCUGAGGGGAGGCAGGGGUGGGGAAUCUCCCGAAAGGGGGGAAAGCCUGACGGAGCAACGCCGGGGGGGGGAUAAAGGGUUUGGGAUGGGAAACCCUUUUUUUUAGGGAAAAAAAAAUGUGUAAGUAACUAUCCCCGUUUGAACGGUACCAAAUCAAAAAGCCCCGGCUAACUACGG